GGUCAAGUUAUUAAGGGUGCAGGGCGGAUGCCUUGGCACUAGGAGCCGAUGAAGGACGUGAUAAGCUGCGAUAAGCUUCGGGGAGUUGCACGUAAACUUUGAUCCGAAGAUUUCCGAAUGAGGAAACUCACUUAGAGUAAUGUCUAAGUAUCAUUAAGUGAAUACAUAGCUUAAUGAGGGGAACUCAGGGAACUGAAACAUCUAAGUACCUGAAGGAAGAGAAAGAAAUUCGAUUCCGUAAGUAGCGGCGAGCGAACGCGGAUUAGCCCAAACCAAUAAAGUUUUCUUUAUUGGGGUUGCGGACAUAUCAUAACGAAGAGGUAUCGUAAUUGAAGAGGUUUGGAAAGACCCACCACAGAAGGUAAUAGUCCUGUAUGUUAAACGAGAAGACUUUAGAUAUGAUCCAGAGUACCACGGGACACGUGAAACCCUGUGGGAAGCAGGAGGGACCACCCUCCAAGGCUAAAUACUACCUAGUGACCGAUAGCGUAUAGUACCGUGAGGGAAAGGUGAAAAGAACCCCGGGAGGGGAGUGAAAUAGAACCUGAAACCCUGCACUUACAAGCUGUGGAAGCACAUUUCUUGUGUGACCGCGUACUUUUUGUAGAACGGGCCAACGAGUUACGUUAAGUAGCAAGGUUAAGCACUUAAGGUGCGGAGCCGUAGCGAAAGCGAGUUUUAACUGAGCGUUCAGUUACUUGACGUAGACCCGAAACCGGGCGACCUACCCAUGAGCAGGAUGAAGCGAAAGUAAAAUUUCGUGGAGGUCCGAACCCACGAGCGUUGAAAAGCUCGGGGAUGACUUGUGGGUAGCGGUGAAAUUCCAAUCGAGCCCGGAGAUAGCUGGUUCUCCCCGAAAUAGCUUUAGGGCUAGCCUCAAGGUGAGAGAUACGGAGGUAGAGCACUGAAUGUCCUAGGGGGUAUUGCACCUACCGAAGACUAUCAAACUCCGAAUGCCGUCAUCUUAUACUUGGGAGUCAGACUGUGGGUGAUAAGAUUCAUAGUCGAAAGGGCAACAGCCCAGAUCGUCAGCUAAGGUCCCUAAAUGUAAGUUAAGUGGUAAAGGAUGUGGGAUUGCACAGACAACCAGGAUGUUGGCUUAGAAGCAGCCACUCAUUCAAAGAGUGCGUAAUAGCUCACUGGUCGAGUGAUCCUGCGCCGAAGAUUUCCGGGGCUAAAACUUACUACCGAAGCUACGGCAUCAGUAAUGAUGGGUAGGGGAGCUUCCCAUACGGGUUGAAGCAUGACCGUAAGGACAUGUGGACAGUAUGGGAGUGAGAAUGUUGGCAUGAGUAGCGAGAUGUGGGUGAGAAUCCCACAGGCCGUAAACCCAAGGUUUCCAGGGGAAGGUUCGUCCGCCCUGGGUUAGUCGGGACCUAAGCUGAGGCCGAAAGGCGUAGGUGAUGGACAACAGGUUGAUAUUCCUGUACUACCGAUAACCGUUUGAGAGAAGGGAUGACACAGUAGGAUAAGCUAAGCACACUGUUGGUUAUGUGUGCCCAAGCAUUGAGGCAGUCAAAGUAGGCAAAUCCGCUUUGAUAAUGCUGGGAUGUGAUGGGGAGCGAAAUUUAGUAGCGAAGUAGCUGAUUUCACACUGUCAAGAAAAGUCUCUAUCGAGGUUAAAGGUACCCGUACCGCAAACCGACACAGGUGGGUGAGGAGAGUAUCCUAAGGCCAGCGAGAGAACUGUUGUUAAGGAACUCGGCAAAAUGACCCCGUAACUUAGGGAU
rnacentral:rRNA from 1 species